CUGAACCUGCAUGUUUCAUCUGCUUACAAAUCUGCACACAGUACUAUUCUGCUAAAAAGGACAAUUGCAGCAAAGAAAAAGACAACUGACUCUUUGCAAACAACCCUAAAAGCAUCCUGCCAAAGAGGCCAAAAUGAACAUGCAUAUAUCUAUAAAGUGUUACUUGUCAAUGCAAAUGCUGCUUCUAGAAAAAAAUUUAAUUGCAUAGGUUAAAACAAAAAACAUUGUGCAAUAUUUUAAGCCAUUAAAGCAUCAAAAUAAAAAACCCCAGCAAAAUCACCGUUUUAUGACGAUUAACACACAAACAUGAAAUAUCGAUCAAAAAUCAGGACGUAAAUACCUGGACUGAUACAAUGUCCAUUGUUGGGAGAAUUUUUCUUCAGUUUAGAUGUAUUUUCUCAUCUGUAACUAAAUCUUUUUUUUGGUACCGGGGGUUGAACUUGGGUCCUCGCACUUGCGCAGGCGAAACCACUGAGCUAAAUCCCCAGCCCUAUAACUAAAUCUUAAAGAGCUAACUUUAUAUAAAGUAGGCAAAUUCAAGUAAUUUGCUCUUAAGCCAAUUUUUAUAGAGCUAAACAAGGAACUAAUGAUAAAUGAAACAGAACAGGCAUGGAGAAAAACUGAGAAACUGUAGCUGGACUGAGCAACAGAUGCUUUUAUGCCAUCUGGGGCUUCUCCUUUCAAGGGAAUACAUAAGCUAACAGAUUCAGGCCUGCUGGUUUUAGUAUACUAAUUCCCUUGGAUUUUGAGGUUUGCUAAAAUUUGUACAUCAACAAGCACACAAGAAGUCCUAAGGAAAGGAUUCCACUUAAAAGGGUCAACAUUGAACACUAAUUAAAGCAGUCUUAAAAAGUUGUCUACCACUAUAAACCCAUACAAAAUGUAACAGCUCUCACAAGCCAAAAACUGUAACCUCGUCCUAAGUUUAAUCACUCCUUCCUUUUAGCUGUUUUUCAAGGAAGUACACAUUAACUAAAUGGCAAUUGAAGUGUUUGCUGUAUUCUUUUUCCUUUCUAAAAGAGCAAUCACAGAAAAUACAAACAAAAUCUCCCUCAGCCACUUUGCCUUUGCAUUUUUUGUACUAGUUUCUUGGGGAACCACCUGAGCCCCAUGCAAUCCAGAAUCAUCACUACCCUCUGGCAUGUCACUUAGGUCACUCCCACUGUGACUGUCGAUGCCUUCAUCCUCAUCAGUUUCCUGAGACUCUUACUGUCACACUAAUAGGAGCAGAAGCCGGUGGUUUUGGACACUGCUUCACAUUCUUCCACUGGUGGGGAGAAAAGUGAUGGUGAAGCAGGUUCUUGAACCGCUGCAUCUUUACCUGGAAGAUUCUCUGUUGUGCCCUCAUCAGUGAUUGUUUCCUUUUCACAAAGCUCAUCUGAGUUAGCCUGAUGUUUAUCAUCUGAAGUUUCACUCUCUGGGAUGCUUAACUUGGAGACAGAAGCCAAAACACUGAAGCUGAUUCUUGGAAUCAGCUUGAUCAGCUACAGUACACUUUUAUCUGUCUCAUCUGCUCCCUCUUUCUGCAGGGGUCCUGCUUCAGAGAGUGAGUUUUGAUCUUUUGACUUCUUUCUCCUUUGGCAGUGGUGACGAUGGUGCUAAGAGGUCCUCUGCAUCUGUACUCUCCUUUAGAAGCUGACUGUUUUUGCCAAGCACUAAGCCAACUUCAAUGAGAACUCACUCCUUGCAUGCCAUUUUGCUUUGCAUGUUGGACUUUUCCUUUUCACUAUCUUUUGGGGGACUGGCUCGAUGUGAAAAGAAGGCUGUACUGGAGGGGGCAGCUCCAUGUAUGCAGAUCCCUUCUGAGCAGGCUCUGUGAGAGAAGGCAGCUCAUGAACAACCUCCAUGGGGGCUGGCUCCACAGCAUGAGCCUCCUCAACAGCCUGAAGGGGAGCAGGCUCCAGAGGAGGAGGCCCUAUCCACGCAGGCCCCUUUGGAGCAGCCUCCUUCUGAGGUGGCUUUCUGAGCAAGCUUUCUGCUUUUCUUUAGUUUUCAGAACUUUCUUUUUUGUACUUUCUUUUCACACAGGCUCUUUGCUUUUUAUUCUCCUCCUUAUUCUUGUCCACUUUGCUGUCACCCUUUGGCACCUCCUGAUCAUUUUUGGAUUUGCUUUCUUCUACCUUCUUUUUCAUUACAGGCUCCUUAUCAUUCACAGGCUCAUGCAAGGAUUGGGCUUUAGCAUCCAGCUUCCUUUUGCUUUUCUUGGUUUUACAGGGCUUUUCUGAAUUUCUUCCUAUAUGCACAUUGAUCUAUUAUCUUUGUAGCUGAUUUGUGAGUUCUUGUAGUCAUUUGGAUCCCCGAGACACAUUGCCACAAGGCCUUUUCUCUUUUGAAACAUCUUUUUUCUCCACUUCUACAGACUUAUUUUUCUUUCCAGCCACAUCCCCCUUUGUUUUUGUCUGUUCUGUUUUUUUCAUCAGUAAUACUGUUAUCAGGCAAGUCAACCUCUCACUUUUUGGUUUUCUUUAGUUUCACUUUUGAGACAUCUAUUGUUUUAUUAAGACAAGUAGGAUGACUGCAUUUAAAAUGAUACUGGAGAUUACAGUUCUUAGAAGGUGCAUAGGCACUUGCAGGGCAAUGGAAGCCAUGGGUUAAAAUGCAGCCCUAGGAGUUUUUUGAAAUUGCUUCUAUCUCCUGUUUUAUAGUCAGAGAGAGGGCAAUUAAGAGGUUUAGGACCACUAUGAACCUGUCUUGCACGGAGAGUUACUUCGUGCUGAUUAGAGGCCACUUAGCUGCACUGAUCACACUUAAAUGGCUUCUCACACAUCCAGAUCACACUCUGGUACAUAUUACCAAAUGGUACCCAUACCCCACUGAAUAAGCAUGCAUAUGUCUAGUUAGAUCAGUCUUCUGAGAAUUUGAGUAAGGAUAAAGUUCACAUUUAUAUGAGAGUUCUCCUGUAUGAAUCCAAACAUGCUGGACAUAAUUAUUUUUUCUGUCUUAAAAACUAGUUGCCCUUGCCACGUGUACACUUUCCUUGGAAAGUGGUUUUUCAGUUGUUUCCUCCAGUGAUACUCUCUGACUGGUGUGUAUGUGCAAAUGAUGCAUUUGUACACUCCUCCUUACCCUGGCUUUGGUGUGGUGCUUCAGGUGAGUAGUGUAAUAUACCAAUUGGUGUCAUAGCCACAGUGGUCACAGCGGAUGGGGCCCUUUGAGAAAUCUCUCACCAGCAGAAGAGCCAGACUCCCUGGUUUUGGCUUGCUUCUCUGCACUUUCUUCCACAAAAAACUUCUUGGCACUGUGAACUCUGAUAUGAACAACAAACUGUUGUUCAAAUUCUAAUCAUACUGGCAUGGCUUACAGGGAAAGGGUUUGGUCUCCAAGUUCUUGCAUUUGUCCUCUGCUGCAGGUGUUUCAUGAGGAAGAUCUUUAUUUGAGCUGUAAAUCCCAGAGGGAGCUUAUGCCUCAAAUACAGGCUUCUGGCACCAGGGAUUUAGCUCAGUGGCACUGCGCCUGCCUCGAAAGCGCAAGGUCCUGAGUUUGCUCCCCUCACCACAAACAAACAAAAACCAGGCAGCGGUUCUAAACCACUGAGCUCCAAAUUCCUCAGUUUCAUGUUCUCCAGUCCAUUAGGUUCACCUUUUAUUUCAGAACACUCCUCCAGUCCUUCUCCAUCACUAUCCGAGAAGUUGUUAUCCCCAACAGGCAUCCUUUCUGCCAUUUGCCUUUCUUUACCAAUCAGAUAAUCUAAGUAGCAGACUGUUGUGCCCAGAUCGCGAAGUCCCCAAAGACCACCAAGGAGCCGAUUCCGAUGUAAACACACUAGGGUCGUUUACUCAAGCUCGAGCAGGGCCACUCAACCGUCACCGACACAGCGGAUCAGGAUUGAGAGCCCCGAAUUUCAAAUCAGCAGGGUUUUUAUUGUGGCUACAGCAAGUUAGGGCCACAUUCGCCUUGAUCAGCCAAGGCGCCGCCACUUCAGCUCCGAAGAGGUCCUGCAAGUCAUACUUGUCGUUAGGCAAGGCUAUGCCGCUGCUGCAGCUACCGGCGAACAGCCCUGCUCCUCCAGACGCCUAACCCAUCACGUGGGUGCCACUGUACCCAGCCUUCCUUGGCGCGGAGGGCAGCGCCGCUCCUUCUCCGACUAUCUGCUGUGAAUACGUCACUCGCCUUGUGAAAGAAGCUGGUGGUCUUCAAUGGGAGAUUGAAAUUAACAAGCAGAGAGGAGCAAAACAUGAAGAGGGAGAGCCUUGCUUUUAACUUGUCUUUGUGGUCAUUUGCACUUCUGCCUUCCUCAUGGUUUGGUUUUAAGAAUGAAUCCUGUUUUGGACGGUUGAGUUUGAGUUGCAUUUCUGUCACUUGCAUUCACAAAAGCCUUGACACAUACCCAAUGGUGAUUUGAGGUUCAUUCGAGUAUUUAGCCUGUGUUAGGUACUGUUACAAACUCGUAGCAUAUAUUCAAUUUUUUUUUUUUUUUUUUUGGUACCGGGGAUCGAACUCAGGUCCUUGCGCUUGUGAGGCAGGCGGUGGAACCAUUGAGCUAAAUCCCCGGCCCCUUGUAGCAUAUAUUAAUUGAUUUAAUACAACCAACUAUGAGAGAUAUAUUGCAUGUUUAUCCCUCGUUUACUAAUGAGCACAGAGAAGUUAAACAGCCCAGUCAAGGUCACACAGCCAGGAAGCAGAAAAACUUAGGAUUUGAAUCUUGGAGAUCUGACUCGAGUCUGUGGAUCCUGCCCCAUGCUCAACCACCUAAGCAGCAGUCUGAUUAAACAAGUAGGCCUUAGGAGAGUGCUCUGAACUUGAAGUAGAGAUCUGCAUCUAUUAAGUUGUAGUUGAAAUUACAAAAGUAGAUACACGAGACAGUGGAGUAGGUCUAGAAAAGGACUUGGAUAACUGAGGAGCCAAGGAUAAGAGGGAGAAGAGCCCACCAGGAAGUCAGAGUCUCUCUGUAGAGAAAUCCUACUUCUGCCUACUGCAGCCUUUACAUGCUUCCAUUCUCAGGAAUGCAAAAAAACCUCAAUACAGUAUAUAUUUGGUCAAGAUCAAGUGGUUGGACUUUAAAGGCCUGGUUCCUGGUUUUGUGCUUAUGGAUUGUUGGUUGUAUUAACAAAAAGAGAAGCGAUUUUGGAGUUUCAGCUCAGACUCUUAAAGUCUCAGACUUUGAACUAUUUACUAAAUAUAUUGAGGCUUCUCUUUUCAAAAUAGGCAUAAUAAUAUCUCAACUGGGCACUGCUAUCUUUAAUAAUGUAAAUGCUUAUGUGUUUGUUAUUUUUAAAAUUUUAAGAAUUUUUAUUAGUACAUGUUUACAGGGCAUAAUGCUUACAUUUAUCAUGAGGAGUUGGUACAUGUACAUAACACAUCUUAAUUCUAUUUACUUAAGUUAUAUGGCUUUGAUAAAGAGAAAAAGUAUUAACUAUGUGGAUUAGAGGCCAGUAUAGUUAUUCAUAGUAACUUCUUUUUCACUUAGGUGUACUUUCUGCCAUCACAGAGAUAGUUUACAAGUAUGUUUUGGUUGUUAAGUAAGGUUCUCCAUUUGGUAAAAAUCUAGGUGUACGUAAGAACAAUGUAAAUUUAUUAAAGAGCAUGAAAACUUUCCUAGUCUUGAAUGAAACUUACAUUUGAAGAUCAAACAUGCUUGCUAUAAAACUGCUUCCACCUUUUGUCACAUGGACAGUGCAUAAAGUAAUAAGCUGUACUAAAAAACUAAAGACCACUUAAUAACAGAAAAUAUAAAAAUGUAUUUCAAGGUGACAUUUUGACAGCAUUUACCUUUUAGUACUUUUCCAGUGUCAAGAUGAGGUUCAGGAGACUUAGGUCAGCAAGUUACUGCUGACUGAUGUCUUCCAAUGAAAAGACAGAUCUAUACAGAGAGAAUGCCAUGUGAACACUGAAGUUAUAUUGUCAGCAGCCAAGAACACCAAGAUUGCUGACAAACUCCAGAAACUUGUGGCAUAGAAUCCAUGUGCCCUCAGAACUCCCAGGAGGAAACAAGCCUGUUCAACACCUUGCUCUUGGAAUUCUAACCUCCAGAACUGUAAUAUAGUACAUUUCUGAUUAAGCCUUCUAGUUUGUGAUAUUUUGUUACUGCAGCCUUAUCAAACUAAUACACUGUAAAAAGAAUAUGGGCUUUGACAUCUAGAUGUUAAUUUGUGUUCUGCUGCACACUAUCUUUUUGACUUCUGACAAGUCAUUUCAACAUUCUUAUACUUAGCUAAAAUUCAGUUUAGAAUAAUAACUUUUAUUCUGGGAAUUAAACAAGCUUCAAAAUGUAUAAAUUGAUAGCCCUCAAAACUUGAUACUUUCUCUUUGAUAACUUAUAAUGCAUUUGAUUAUUUUAAGUGACUUUUGUGGAAUCCUAAAUAUAUCAAAGAAAAAAUUACUACCAUCCACAGUAUCUUAAGGUCAUCGAAACUCUGGGUGCUAUAUUGCAAAAUAAAAUCAUAUAGUAGAAUGUUAGUUGAGUAUGAUAUUGUGGUUUACAAAGCUAUCUCCUAACACCACCAGUAGAAUGUCUUGUGCAAUAUUUUUGCUAAAUUGUUACUAGAAUGUCAUAACCUCCAAAUCUGAAGAAAAUUAUUUAAGGUAAGGAGUCAAGCAUCAUUUCCUUACUUCAUCUUACAGAAUUAUUUCAAAUCAUAAGCUUUCUAAAAAUAAUAAAGUAGAAUUAACUUCACGUUUAUUGUACAUUUUAAGUUAUUUGAAUCACCAACUGUUCCAUUUUUUCUCGUGCAACAAACAUAUUAGUGCUUUUAAAAUCUGAGUCUUUAUUUUUUUUAAGGAAAGAGCAAGAAUGUUGACCCAUAUAGAAGAAAAAUGGUUUCAUGUUCUUGAUUUACUCUAGGUGAGUUUUCAAGAUGCAGUUGUUUGUAAAGCGGAAAC